rnacentral:rRNA from 1 species
AGCGAACGCUGGCGGCAGGCUUAACACAUGCGAGUCGAGCGGGCAUCUUCGGAUGUCAGCGGCAGACGGGUGCGUAACACGUGGGAACGUACCCUUCGGUUCGGAACAACUCUGGGAAACUGGAGCUAAUACCGGAUACGCCCUUAUGGGGAAAGGUUUACUGCCGAAGGAUCGGCCCGCGUCUGAUUAGCUAGUUGGUGGGGUAACGGCCUACCAAGGCGACGAUCAGUAGCUGGUCUGAGAGGAUGAUCAGCCACACUGGGACUGAGACACGGCCCAGACUCCUACGGGAGGCAGCAGUGGGGAAUAUUGGACAAUGGGCGCAAGCCUGAUCCAGCCAUGCCGCGUGAGUGAUGAAGGCCUUAGGGUUGUAAAGCUCUUUUGUCCGGGACGAUAAUGACGGUACCGGAAGAAUAAGCCCCGGCUAACUUCGUG